CCCGUGGAAACGGCGGGCGGCAGCGGAGGGAGUGCCUGGAUUACAGCUUCUCCAACUUCAAAGAGAUGUUUUCUGUUAUCUGCAACAAAAAACCUUGACUACUACAACAGGACCAUUGCUAAAAAUAGGAAACCCCCAAAAAAGGCAAGAAAUAGAUAUCAAUUACAAUCCUUCCAACAAAAGAUGAAUUUGUGGAUGUUUUAAGCCUCACAUCUAUCUUCUCCUUCUGCCCCUUAUCUGUGCAACCUGAUAAGCCUAGCUGCUUCCUCCUUUGAUGCCAAGGGAAAGUUUAAACCAUGGGCUGGAACCCUCACCUCAGCCUCAUGCCCUACUAUUAUUAAAAUCUCAAGGCAGUGUCCCCUUUCUAGCCAUUUUCAGACCAACUUUGGAAGUCACUCUGCUUU